rnacentral:lncRNA from 1 species
UUAGAUAAGCUUUAAAUGAGGUCUUGACUGGCAACCGCUGAAGUCGGUUAUGUAUUUAUGUAAUAGGGAGUGUCGGUUUCAUGAAAUGCAUCCAAAAGAGAACAGCUCUGUUUUAUGUGUGAAAAAAAAAAUUAGGGUUUAACGCAUCACGGUUGAGAAUUAAUCUAGAGGCUCGUAAAUAGAAAGAAGACGAUCGUAAACUCUUAGGAGGAAAAGAUUUCAUUGAUUCACUUGUGUUGCAAAUUGGGCUCUAAGCCGUAUGAAUUCAAUGGUGAUUUUGUUACUCUAUCGAGUGUAACCGUGUAACUGAUUUCAUUUGAGAAUCAAUUUGGAGACAGCGAAAUCAGAAGAAGACGAUUGCAAUUUGUUUGUGGGGGGGGGGGG